AGCAGUGUGCUGGAGCUCAUUAUAAGCCUCAGCUGGAAGGAGUUUCUGCAAAUUCUGCAACCCAGCGGCACACGGGUGGACAAGAUGUUCCACAGCAGAAUAAUGCCACAGUGGCAAGAAUUUUUCCAGGACAAUUUGGGAAAAAACUGGGGCGGAAAAAAAUGACUUGGAAAAAGGGACCACAUUCUAAUUCCAACUUAAAAAGAAGGUUCAAUACUGUCAAAUAUACAGAGACAACACCAAAAGCUGCAGAAGAACUAACUAUUCUACAGACACGGAUGGGUUGCAGAACCAUCAGUAUCACAGAGGGUGCCAUACAUUCAUGGUCAUGCUGUGAAAUGGCCGAUUUGAAAGGAGCGUGGAUGUGGUCCAAGGAUGGUGG